rnacentral:rRNA from 1 species
UUCGAGACUAGGACGUUGAUAGGUUGGAUGUGGAAGCAUAGUGAUAUGUGAAGCUGACCAAUACUAAUUGCUCGUGAGGCUUGACUAU